rnacentral:rRNA from 1 species
GACGAACGCUGGUUGCGUGCUUAACACAUGCAAGUCGAACGGAAAGGCCCUGCUUUUGUGGGGUGCUCGAGUGGCGAACGGGUGAGUAACACGUGAGUAACCUGCCCUUGACUUUGGGAUAACUUCAGGAAACUGGGGCUAAUACCGGAUAGGAGCUCCUGCUGCAUGGUGGGGGUUGGAAAGUUUCGGCGGUUGGGGAUGGACUCGCGGCUUAUCAGCUUGUUGGUGGGGUAGUGGCUUACCAAGGCUUUGACGGGUAGCCGGCCUGAGAGGGUGACCGGCCACAUUGGGACUGAGAUACGGCCCAGACUCCUACGGGAGGCAGCAGUGGGGAAUAUUGCACAAUGGGCGGAAGCCUGAUGCAACAACGCCGCGUGCGGGAUGACGGCCUUCGGGUUGUAAACCGCUUUCGCCUGUGACGAAGCGUGAGUGACGGUAAUGGGUAAAGAAGCACCGGCUAACUACGUGCCAGCAGCCGCGGUGAUACGUAGGGUGCGAGCGUUGUCCGGAUUUAUUGGGCGUAAAGGGCUCGUAGGUGGUUGAUCGCGUCGGAAGUGUAAUCUUGGGGCUUAACCCUGAGCGUGCUUUCGAUACGGGUUGACUUGAGGAAGGUAGGGGAGAAUGGAAUUCCUGGUGGAGCGGUGGAAUGCGCAGAUAUCAGGAGGAACACCAGUGGCGAAGGCGGUUCUCUGGGCCUUUCCUGACGCUGAGGAGCGAAAGCGUGGGGAGCGAACAGGCUUAGAUACCCUGGUAGUCCACGCUGUAAACGGUGGGUACUAGGUGUGGGGUCCAUUCCACGGGUUCCGUGCCGUAGCUAACGCUUUAAGUACCCCGCCUGGGGAGUACGGCCGCGAGGCUAAAACUCAAAGGAAUUGACGGGGCCCCGCACAAGCGGCGGAGCAUGCGGAUUAAUUCGAUGCAACGCGUAGAACCUUACCUGGGUUUGACAUGGAUCGGGAGUGCUCAGAGAUGGGUGUGCCUCUUUUGGGGUCGGUUCACAGGUGGUGCAUGGCUGUCGUCAGCUCGUGUCGUGAGAUGUUGGGUUAAGUCCCGCAACGAGCGCAACCCUUGUUCACUGUUGCCAGCACGUUAUGGUGGGGACUCAGUGGAGACCGCCGGGGUCAACUCGGAGGAAGGUGGGGAUGACGUCAAGUCAUCAUGCCCCUUAUGUCCAGGGCUUCACGCAUGCUACAAUGGCUGGUACAGAGAGUGGCGAGCCUGUGAGGGUGAGCGAAUCUCGGAAAGCCGGUCUCAGUUCGGAUUGGGGUCUGCAACUCGACCUCAUGAAGUCGGAGUCGCUAGUAAUCGCAGAUCAGCAACGCUGCGGUGAAUACGUUCCCGGGGCU